GGGGGAGUGCCGGAAUUGGUAGACGGGCGCGGCUUAGGACCGCGUGCCCUAAAGGCGUGGGGGUUCGAGUCCCCCCUUCCCCACCA
rnacentral:tRNA from 1 species